rnacentral:rRNA from 1 species
GAUGAACGCUGGCGGCGUGCCUAAUACAUGCAAGUCGAGCGAACGGACGAGAAGCUUGCUUCUCUGAUGUUAGCGGCGGACGGGUGAGUAACACGUGGAUAACCUACCUAUAAGACUGGGAUAACUUCGGGAAACCGGAGCUAAUACCGGAUAAUAUUUUGAACCGCAUGGUUCAAAAGUGAAAGACGGUCUUGCUGUCACUUAUAGAUGGAUCCGCGCUGCAUUAGCUAGUUGGUAAGGUAACGGCUUACCAAGGCAACGAUGCAUAGCCGACCUGAGAGGGUGAUCGGCCACACUGGAACUGAGACACGGUCCAGACUCCUACGGGAGGCAGCAGUAGGGAAUCUUCCGCAAUGGGCGAAAGCCUGACGGAGCAACGCCGCGUGAGUGAUGAAGGUCUUCGGAUCGUAAAACUCUGUUAUUAGGGAAGAACAUAUGUGUAAGUAACUGUGCACAUCUUGACGGUACCUAAUCAGAAAGCCACGGCUAACUACGUGCCAGCAGCCGCGGUAAUACGUAGGUGGCAAGCGUUAUCCGGAGUUAUUGGGCGUAAAGCGCGCGUAGGCGGUUUUUUAAGUCUGAUGUGAAAGCCCACGGCUCAACCGUGGAGGGUCAUUGGAAACUGGAAAACUUGAGUGCAGAAGAGGAAAGUGGAAUUCCAUGUGUAGCGGUGAAAUGCGCAGAGAUAUGGAGGAACACCAGUGGCGAAGGCGACUUUCUGGUCUGUAACUGACGCUGAUGUGCGAAAGCGUGGGGAUCAAACAGGAUUAGAUACCCUGGUAGUCCACGCCGUAAACGAUGAGUGCUAAGUGUUAGGGGGUUUCCGCCCCUUAGUGCUGCAGCUAACGCAUUAAGCACUCCGCCUGGGGAGUACGACCGCAAGGUUGAAACUCAAAGGAAUUGACGGGGACCCGCACAAGCGGUGGAGCAUGUGGUUUAAUUCGAAGCAACGCGAAGAACCUUACCAAAUCUUGACAUCCUUUGACAACUCUAGAGAUAGAGCCUUCCCCUUCGGGGGACAAAGUGACAGGUGGUGCAUGGUUGUCGUCAGCUCGUGUCGUGAGAUGUUGGGUUAAGUCCCGCAACGAGCGCAACCCUUAAGCUUAGUUGCCAUCAUUAAGUUGGGCACUCUAAGUUGACUGCCGGUGACAAACCGGAGGAAGGUGGGGAUGACGUCAAAUCAUCAUGCCCCUUAUGAUUUGGGCUACACACGUGCUACAAUGGACAAUACAAAGGGCAGCGAAACCGCGAGGUCAAGCAAAUCCCAUAAAGUUGUUCUCAGUUCGGAUUGUAGUCUGCAACUCGACUAUAUGAAGCUGGAAUCGCUAGUAAUCGUAGAUCAGCAUGCUACGGUGAAUACGUUCCCGGGUCU